AGCUUGUCCGAAGGUAGAGAGUUAUCUCAUUUGAUUGUUCACAAUCAGUUAUAGAUUAAACUCCUCUUCUACUACUUUUGCCCUUCUUAGUACUGCACUUGACUAGUCAUUA
rnacentral:Y_RNA from 1 species